GCCUCUGUGGUGUAGUGGUGGUAGCACACGUCCCUGGUAUGGAUUAAACGCGGGUUCGAUUCCCAGCUGAGGCC